GAUGAACGCUGGCGGCGUGCCUAAUACAUGCAAGUCGAGCGAACGGACGAGAAGCUUGCUUCUCUGAUGUUAGCGGCGGACGGGUGAGUAACACGUGGAUAACCUACCUAUAAGACUGGGAUAACUUCGGGAAACCGGAGCUAAUACCGGAUAAUAUUUUGAACCGCAUGGUUCAAAAGUGAAAGACGGUCUUGCUGUCACUUAUAGAUGGAUCCGCGCUGCAUUAGCUAGUUGGUAAGGUAACGGCUUACCAAGGCAACGAUGCAUAGCCGACCUGAGAGGGUGAUCGGCCGCACUGGAACUGAGACACGGUCCAGACUCCUACGGGAGGCAGCAGUAGGGAAUCUUCCGCAAUGGGCGAAAGCCUGACGGAGCAACGCCGCGUGAGUGAUGAAGGUCUUCGGAUCGUAAAACUCUGUUAUUAGGGAAGAACAUAUGUGUAAGUAACUGUGCACAUCUUGACGGUACCUAAUCAGAAAGCCACGGCUAACUACGUGCCAGCAGCCGCGGUAAUACGUAGGUGGCAAGCGUUAUCCGGAAUUAUUGGGCGUAAAGCGCGCGUAGGCGGUUUUUUAAGUCUGAUGUGAAAGCCCACGGCUCAACCGUGGAGGGUCAUUGGAAACUGGAAAACUUGAGUGCAGAAGAGGAAAGUGGAAUUCCAUGUGUAGCGGUGAAAUGCGCAGAGAUAUGGAGGAACACCAGUGGCGAAGGCGACUUUCUGGUCUGUAACUGACGCUGAUGUGCGAAAGCGUGGGGAUCAAACAGGAUUAGAUACCCUGGUAGUCCACGCCGUAAACGAUGAGUGCUAAGUGUUAGGGGGUUUCCGCCCCUUAGUGCUGCAGCUAACGCAUUAAGCACUCCGCCUGGGGAGUACGACCGCAAGGUUGAAACUCAAAGGAAUUGACGGGGACCCGCACAAGCGGUGGAGCAUGUGGUUUAAUUCGAAGCAACGCGAAGAACCUUACCAAAUCUUGACAUCCUUUGACAACUCUAGAGAUAGAGCUUUCCCCUUCGGGGGACAAAGUGACAGGUGGUGCAUGGUUGUCGUCAGCUCGUGUCGUGAGAUGUUGGGUUAAGUCCCGCAACGAGCGCAACCCUUAAGCUUAGUUGCCAUCAUUAAGUUGGGCACUCUAAGUUGACUGCCGGUGACAAACCGGAGGAAGGUGGGGAUGACGUCAAAUCAUCAUGCCCCUUAUGAUUUGGGCUACACACGUGCUACAAUGGACAAUACAAAGGGCAGCGAAACCGUGAGGUCAAGCAAAUCCCAUAAAGUUGUUCUCAGUUCGGAUUGUAGUCUGCAGCUCGACUACAUGAAGCUGGAAUCGCUAGUAAUCGUAGAUCAGCAUGCUACGGUGAAUACGUUCCCGGGUCU
rnacentral:rRNA from 1 species